CCUCGAAGGAGAGAUCAGACUUCCCCUGCCCGGCUCCAAGCUGGGCGGGGGAGGGGAAGCCAUGAGGCCUGACUGAGAUGCUGGAAACCUUGCAAAUGCUGAUUCCUCCUGGAGUUGAAUGAGAAGAGAGACAGAGGUGAGAUAAGAGGAAAUGGGCCACGAGAGAAGCUGAAAAGAAUCUUAGGUGGGAGGAGGUGAUGGAGUGGCCUUUGGCUGGACUUUUCUUGUAUGGCCAUGGACAGAACCAUUUUUUCCUGUGACACAGAGACUGCAUUUAGGGGGGAGGCAAUGGCUUAGAGCCAAGAGAGUGCAGUGAUGUGAUGUGAAGGAGUGCGUGAACAGAGACGACGGGUGAGGAGGGUGGUGGUGGUGCCCUCCGUCUUCAGGGAAGAAGAAGAAGAAGAAGAAGAUGAUCUCUGUUCUCGAGACCCCUCGGCCACAGGGGGUGAAAUUUGGGGGGGACAGGUGUCCCGAAAGUGAGAGACUGUGCUCUUUUUGGAACUGGGCAAAGCAUCCUUUAAAAAGGAAAACCCUAGAAGCAGCUCUGGUCCAUGCACAGUGGUGAGAGCACUGGGCACGGAAGGAAGAUGUCACGAUGGCAAAAUGAUCUCCGGGCGGUGCCACGUGUGACAUGGAAACACAAGAGGUUUCAACUGUGCAUCCUGGGGAAGCCUAUGGUACAAGAGGGACUCCUCUCUCCUUGAUGAACUGAGAAUUGAUUAUCUGAAGGGUGAUGCUGGACUGAGAGUGGGUGAUCUGAGGGGUGAAUGUAUUGGAAAUUUGGUGGGGGGAGGAGGAAUGUUUUAGGAAGGUUUUCAUCCUGAGUUCUGUGUGUUUCUUUUAUAGUUGUAGGUUAAUAAAGUUUUUCCUUUUUAUUCCUAA